rnacentral:rRNA from 1 species
GACGAACGCUGGCGGCGUGCUUAACACAUGCCAGUCGAACGGAAAGGCCCUGCUUUUGUGGGGUGCUCGAGUGGCGAACGGGUGAGUAACACGUGAGUAACCUGCCCUUGACUUUGGGAUAACUUCAGGAAACUGGGGCUAAUACCGGAUAGGAGCUCCUGCUGCAUGGUGGGGGUUGGAAAGUUUCGGCGGUUGGGGAUGGACUCGCGGCUGAUCAGCUUGUUGGUGGGGUAGUGGCUUACCAAGGCUGUGACGGGUAGCCGGCCUGAGAGGGUGACCGGCCACAUUGGGACUGAGAUACGGCCCAGAGUCCUACGGGAGGCAGCAGUGGGGAAUAUUGCACAAUGGGCGGAAGCCUGAUGCAGCAACGCCGCGUGCGGGAUGACGGCCUUCGGGUUGUAAACCGCUUUCGCCUGUGACGAAGCGUGAGUGACGGUAAUGGGUAAAGAAGCACCGGCUAACUACGUG